rnacentral:rRNA from 1 species
GACGAACGCUGGCGGCGUGCUUAACACAUGCAAGUCGAACGGAAAGGCCCAGCUUGCUGGGUACUCGAGUGGCGAACGGGUGAGUAACACGUGGGUGAUCUGCCCUGCACUCUGGGAUAAGCCUGGGAAACUGGGUCUAAUACCGGAUAUGACCAACUGUCGCAUGGUGGUUGGUGGAAAGCUUUUGCGGUGUGGGAUGGGCCCGCGGCCUAUCAGCUUGUUGGUGGGGUAAUGGACUACCAAGGCGACGACGGGUAGCCGACCGGAGAGGGUGGUCGGCCAGACUGGGAGUGAGACACGGCCCAGACUCCUACGGGAGGCAGCAGUGGGGAAUAUUGCACAAUGGGCGCAAGCCUGAUGCAGCGACGCCGCGUGCGGGAUGACGGCCUUCGGGUUGUAAACCUCUUUCAGCACAGACGAAGCGCAAGUGACGGUAUGUGCAGAAGAAGGACCGGCCAACUACGUGCCAGCCGCCGCGGUAACAC